rnacentral:lncRNA from 1 species
CACCACCACAAUACCAUCUUUUCUCACGGCGAUGCCGUCCGCCCACGGUAAGUCUCGCGGUAGCAGAACCAAUCUGGCUGUUCCGUCCUCGGCGUCAACCUUGAACAUUUUUCCGGUGUUGCUCUGUACUGCAAGCAAGUAGCCCUUGCUGAUAUAAAGGAUGCCGUUGAGUCCGCAGAAGCUGUAGGGUGAACUGCGGUCCACGGGAUAUUCCGUAAAGACCGGAGAUCUGGAGAAGAUGGACGCCUCUCCUUUCGCGUUGACUUUCCAGAUGAAAUUGGCGGCCGCGUUGGUGACGUAGGCGUUGCCGGCGAAGUCCACAGUGACGUCGUUAGCUAUCUGCC